AAGAAUAAGGUGCUGUGUAAAAACGACUUAAUAGGGAAUCAUGUGUGAAUCAUGAGCUGACGCGCAACUGUAAGUAACCUAAAAAAAAUUUUAUCAAUAAAAACCAUUGCCGAUUUAAACGGUGAGAAGGUAGAUAAAAUGUUAUAAGCCAGGAGACCUGCCUAUUCUUAA
rnacentral:ncRNA from 1 species